AGGAACCUUUGUCCCAGUGAGAGAGGCUGAGGAGUACGUACCAAGGGACAGUUUGUGAGACUCUGGUAGGUCCGUGACUGAGGGCACCCUUGUGGGAUGCUGAGUGUAGCCAUCAGGAAGCUGGGUCCCAGCCAACUCAGCCUGGGCUCUGCCGUUCUCCAGUGGUCAGAUAAGAAAGAGCGGUGUGGUCCUCUAAGGGAGUGAGCGAGGACUGCAGCUGCUUUGAGCCCUGGCCAGAGCCUCCAAUCAACCUUUGGUUCUGAUAAAGACAAGAAACCCAAGCCCCUCCCUCCCCACUGCUGAUAUAACAGCAUGAAAUUAAACCUAUUCCAGUCUGUGACAUCUGAUCCCUUUGACAUGACAUAGUACAACCUGUAGAGCCAGAGGUGGGGGCCAGGAAGCCCUGUUCUAGUCUCUCUGCACAACCUUGAGCCAUCUCAUCAUCUGCACAUCUGCCUGAACCUCAGUCUCCCACUCUGGACGUUGUCGGGGUGAUGGAGCAAGCAUUCAGUUAUUCUCUGCUGGAUUCUGAUGUGGUCUAAAGUCCACACUUUGUUGUGAAACACCGCAAUCUGUGAUGUACAGAACCUAUUACUGCGGCCACCCAGGAAUGCUGGGGGCAGGCCUUUUGAGAAGGUGAAUCAGCGUGUGUUAGCUCAGGGCAGAGGGCCUGGCGGUGAGACGUGAGAACAGCCAAUGUCAUGGCGGUGGGGGAGUGGACGUGAGCCAUCUGGGGCCCAGCAAACAGCAUGUUGAAAAAAACGAGGAACUCAAAGGCAGAUGAGCCUACCACGCUGGGAACAGUUGGGAGUACAUUGCUCAAGCCCCGGCCAGUUUUAUGUCACUGCUGGUGUGAAGCAGUGAACAGUGACCCAGCAUGCAUCCAGGUGGCGGGACAGAGUCAGACUCUCCAGGGCAGAGAGACUCUAAAACUGACGGCCAGGUCUUGCUCAGACUACGGGCCUGAGGGAAGAUCCAAGACUGAAACAGGGCUUGGAAUGGAGGGGGUGGAGUUGAGGAGAUCACAGAGGACCUAGGAGUGUGUGUAUCGGAGAGAGAUAGGAAACCACUGACCGUUCAGCACACAUUCAGAAUUACUGCCUGUCCCAGGGAGGGACCCACAGCUCCGGCGCUCCGUUCAGCAUCUGGAAGAGCAUAGCUCGCUGUGAGCGGCCGCCCCAGAAGACUGUAUCCCACCCAGCCAGCUCUCCUGCCUGCUUGCCUCUGCCCCACACCAGGACACUUCAUACUGUCAGAACCACUGGGUGUGUGAGCUUGUGAGAGGGUGUGUGGGCACACAUGUCCCUGUGUGGGGUGUGGAGGUCAGAGGGCAACUUGGAGGAAUUGGUUCUCUCCUUCCACCACUGGGGCCCAGGAAUCAAGCCGAGGUUCCCAGACGUGGUAGCAGCCUCCCUUACCUGUUAAACCAGUGCUUCCCAGACUUCCUAAUGCUGUGACCUCAUGCUGUGCUGACCCCCGCCCAUGACAUUAUCUCUGUUGGUAUUUUAUAACUGUAAUUUUGCUACUAUUAUGAAUCACAAUGUAAAUGUCUGUUUUCUGAUGGUC
rnacentral:lncRNA from 1 species